rnacentral:rRNA from 1 species
GACGAACGCUGGCGGCGUGCUUAACACAUGCAAGUCGAACGGAAAGGCCCUGCUUUUGUGGGGUGCUCGAGUGGCGAACGGGUGAGUAACACGUGAGUAACCUGCCCUUGACUUUGGGAUAACUUUAGGAAACUGGGGCUAAUACCGGAUAGGAGCUCCUGCUGCAUGGUGGGGGUUGGAAAGUUUCGGCGGUUGGGGAUGGAUUCGCGGCUUAUCAGCUUGUUGGUGGGGUAGUGGCUUACCAAGGCUUUGACGGGUAGCCGGCCUGAGAGGGUGACCGGCCACAUUGGGACUGAGAUACGGCCCAGACUCCUACGGGAGGCAGCAGUGGGGAAUAUUGCACAAUGGGCGGAAGCCUGAUGCAGCAACGCCGCGUGCGGGAUGACGGCCUUCGGGUUGUAAACCGCUUUCGCCUGUGACGAAGCGUGAGUGACGGUAAUGGGUAAAGAAGCACCGGCUAACUACGUG